GCGACUUUAACAGAAAUGGCGACAAAAUCGCUAUUGUUCCAAACCACGAUUUCAGAUCUGAAGCAUCUCCAAUGGCGUAGCAAUGCCAAUGCGCUCUGCCGCCUGACAUUCGCGCGACCUCCUCUUCUUCCUCAUCAUACUUCUCUUCUUCCUCAUUCUCCUCCUCCGCUGUACCGUCGUCUUCAUCUUCCUCAUUCUCCUCCUCCGCUGUACCGUCGUCUUCAUCUUCUUCCUCCUCCUCUGCUCCGACACCGUCUACGCACUCUAUUCUCUACUAUGUCCUCGAUGAACUCGCCGCAGGAGGAGGCCUCUGUCGAAACAGUGAGAAUGGCGAUAAGGGGGAGAGUGCAAGGUGUGUCGGAUCUAUCGGAAUUGGACGAUUGAUAAUGCGAAGGAGUUAGGGUUGAGAGGUUGGGUUCGGAACCGCCGGGAUGGAUCUGUGGAGGCGUUGUUUUCGGGAGAUGGAGCAGCGGUGUAGGAGAGGUCUUCCUGAUGCUAUGGUGACUGGAAUUCGGGCAUUUCCGCGCACGGAUGAUCCUGGGAAUGAAUUCGAGCGUAAGCCUACUGUGUGAAUGAAUGAAUCAGCGAUUCUGAUCAGUAAAGGAACCCAACUCCCAAAAGUAGCUGUCGGCGCAGGAAGGAUGUUGCCAAGGCAUGCAGUGCCAGCCAUCGAAGACUUCUCUAACGAAUUCUUCUACUUCAGGCAGAGGGCAAUCCAGUAGUGUUGUUCAGGGUUUAGGGAAACCAACAGGAUUACGAAUGCCUUCUCCCAAAAUCAGGUUCUUUGAUGGGGUGAAAUCAUCCCCUCGCACUCCCAAUGGCCACAAGCAAAGCGAGAAGUGUUGAGACUCCAAACAAGUAGAGGAUGUCAGCUUCUUCAGCAAGCUCAAAGCCUGAUUCGGCAAAGGCCGCAUCUCUUAAAAAGUCACAUGAUUCGCAGAGUGAGUGGGCAUUGGUGAGGAGGGGUGGGGUAUGUAUAUGCAUCACUCAUUCCGUAAUAUGUGCUGCAAUGCUCUCUGCUCUCUGCUCAAUUCGAUACAAAGGUAUUGCUGGAAUAAGCUUCAGCAUAUCGGCGGAUUUAAAGAAAAAAGCUUUCAGCAUAUCGGUGGAUUCAUAUUUCAAGGUACCUUGCUUUUAUUAUUUGAGAAAGUUGAUAUCAUAUUUGAAAAAAAAAAUGUGGCAAUUUGAAGCUGGUAUUACUCCCCCCACCAUGCAAAAAAAUUAGUGCAUUUUUCGCAAGGGAGGGAGUAAUAUUUUUUUGGGCUGGCUCGGGCUGUUUUAAAAUUCAAGCCCGAUAGGUUCGACCUAAUUUUGCAUUGGGCUUGAAAAUCCAACCAAGGCAUGGCCCGGUUUCAAAUUAUACCGGGCCAGGCCAGGCCAGCCCAGAUUUUUAAUAUUAGAUUUUAAAAAUAAUAUAUCAUUUUUUAUUAAAUAAUAAAUUAUAUUAAUCUAAAUUGAUAUAAUUAGGACAAAGUAUUUUAUUGAUAAUUAAGAAUUUAAACAUUAAUUAAUUAUUAAUUUUAUUAUAUAGUUAAUAUUAUAUUAAAAAAUAUUUUUACUUAGAAUAUUUUAAUCAAUUAGACCCUGCUAGGCACGUCAUAAUUUGCAUAGGCUUCAAACCAGUUUGGUUAUUCAACCAUACUGGGUUGGCCCGACCUAAAAAUAGUUUGGAACUAAUUUCUAGACCCAAAUCUUUAUUUGUUCGUGUCGAAUAUGGAUUUGAUAGUAGUAGACUCCACAUAAACUUUACCUACAAACUAAAUACACUUUAAAACAAAUAAGGAUAAAAUUUAGAAAUAAAAUUAAUACAUCCAAAUCCCGGGACCUAAACAUAAUUCUAUUAUUAUAUGUAAGAUGCUAAUGUAAAUGCAAUGCGAAAAUAUAAAAGAAAAACGACGAACUACUCCGUAAUAUAUUUUCGGUCAUCCGAUCAUCCGGCCGCUCCCUCUCCUAUGCAUCUAAAAAUAUUUAAAAUAGAUAUAAGUAUAUAUACAUAGGAAACAACAAAAUAAUAAUAAAAUCACUUACCUUGGGUUUGAAAUCGGUGUUGAAGGAUCUUUGCGGAUCCUCUCGUCUCCCAUAAGUUUUACCUAUAAAGUAAAAACACUAAAAAAGAAGUUAGUAUAAAAUUUAGAAACAAAAUGAAUGCAUACAAGUCCCGGGACGUAAAAAUAAUUAUAUUUCUAUAUGCAGGAUGCUAAAAUAAAUGCAAUGCAUAAAUGUAAAAGAAAAAAGACGAUAUACUCCUUAUUAUGCUUUCGGUCGUCCGAUCAUCCGGCCCCUCCAUCUCCUAUGCAUCUAAAAUGAUUUAAAAUAUAUAUUAGUAUAUAUGCAUAGGAAACAACAAAAUAAUAUUAAAAUCACUUACUUUUGAUUUGAAAUCGAGAUCGAAGGAUCUUUGCGGAUCCCCUAGUCUCCAUAUAAACUUUACCUACAAAUUAAAAGCACUUAAAAAUAAGUUAGUAUAAAAUAUAGAAGCAAAACGAAUGAAUGCAUGCAUGUCCCGGGACGGACGUAAAAAUGAAUCUAUUUAUAUAUGCAUAAUGCUAAAAUAAAUUAAAUGCAUAAAUGUAAAAAGAAGGGGACGAAUUACUCCCUAUGAUGUAUUCGGUCGUCCGAUCAUCCGGUCACUCCCUGUCGUAUGCAUCUAAAAAGAUUUAAAAUAGAUAUUAAUAUAUAUCUGCAUAGGAAACAACAAAAUAAUAUUAAAAUUACUUACCUUGGAUUUGAAAUCGAGAUUGAAGGAUCUUUGUGGUUUCCAUAAUCUCCCCAUAAACUUUACCUACAAACUAAAAACACUAAAAAAGUAAGUUAGUAUAAAAUAUAGAAAAAAAAUUAAUGCAUGCAUGUCCCGGGACUUAAAAAUAAAUCUAUUUCUAUAUGCAUAAUGAUAAAAUAAAUUAAAUGCAUAAAUGUAAAAGAAAAGGGACGAAUUACUCCCUAUGAUGUAUUCGGUCGUCCGAUCAUCCGGUCACUCCCUCUCGUAUGCAUCUAAACAGAUUUAAAAUAGAUAUUAGUAUAUAUAUGCAUAGGAAACAACAAAAUAAUAUUAAAAUUACUUACCUUGGAUUUGAAAUCGAGAUUGAAGGAUCUUUGUGCUUUCCAUAAUCUCCCCAUAAGCUUUACCUACAAGCUAAAAACACUAAAAAAGUAAGUUAGUAGAAACAAAAUUUAAUGCAUGCAUGUCCCGGGACUUAAAAUAAAAUCUAUUUCUAUAUGCAUAAUGCUAAAAUAAAUUAAAUGCAUAAAUGUAAAGAGAAGGGAACGAAUUACUCCCUAUGAUGUAUUCGGUUGUCCGAUCAUCCGGGCACUCCCUCUUGUAUGCAUCUAAAAAUAUUUAAAAUAGAUAUUAGUAUAUAUAUGAAUAGGAAACCAUAAACUAAUAUUAAAAUCACUUACCUUGGAUUUGAAAUCUAGAUCGAAGGAUCUUUGCGCUUCCUCUAAUCUCCCCAUAAGCUUUACCUACAAACUAAAAACACUAAAAACGUAAGUUAGUAUAAAAUAUAGAAACAAAAAUGCAUGCAUGUCCCGGGACUUAAAAAUAAAUCUAUUUCUAUAUGCAUAAUGAUAAAAUAAAUUAAAUGCAUAAAUGUAAAAGAAAAGGGACGAAUUACUCCCUAUGAUGUAUUCGGUCGUCCGAUCAUCCGGUCACUUCCUCUCGUAUGCAUCUAAAAAGAUUUAAAAUAGAUAUUAGUAUAUAUAUGAAUAGGAAACCAUAAACUAAUAUUAAAAUCACUUACCUUGGAUUUGAAAUCGAGAUCGAAGGAUCUUUGCGGAUCCUCUCGUCUCCACAUACGCUUUACCUACAAACUAAAAACACUAAAAAAGUAAGUUAGUACAAAAUAUAGAAACAAAAUUAAUGCAUGCAUGUCCCGGGACUUAAAAAUAAAUCUAUUUCUAUAUGCAUAAUGCUAAAAUAAAUUAAAUGCAUAAAUGUAAAAAGAAGGGGACGAAUUACUCCCUAUCAUGUAUUCGGUCGUCCGAUCAUCCGGUCACUCCCUCUCGUAUGCAUCUAAAAAGAUUUAAAAUAGAUAUUAGUAUAUAUAUGCAUAGGAAACAACAAAAUAAUAUUAAAAUUACUUACCUUGGAUUUGAAAUCGAGAUUGAAGGAUCUUUGUGCUUUCCAUAAUCUCCCCAUAAGCUUUACCUACAAACUAAAAACACUAAAAAAGUAAGUUAGUAUAAAAUAUAGAAACAAAAUUUAAUGCAUGCAUGUCCCGGGACUUAAAAUAAAAUCUAUUUCUAUAUGCAUAAUGCUAAAAUAAAUUAAAUGCAUAAAUGUAAAGAGAAGGGGACGAAUUACUCCCUAUGAUGUAUUCGGUUGUUCGAUCAUCCGGGCACUCCCUCUUGUAUGCAUCUAAAAAGAUUUAAAAUAGAUAUUAGUAUAUAUAUGCAUAGGAAACCAUAAACUAAUAUUAAAAUCACUUACCUUGGAUUUGAAAUCUAGAUCGAAGGAUCUUUGCGCUUCCUCUAAUCUCCCCAUAAGCUUUACCUACAAACUAAAAACACUAAAAAAGUAAGUUAGUAUAAAAUAUAGAAACAAAAUUAAUGCAUGCAUGUCCCGGGACUUAAAAAUAAAUCUAUAUCUAUAUGCAUAAUGCUAAAAUAAAUUAAAUGCAUUAAUGUAAAAAGAAGGGGUCGAAUUACUCCCUAUGAUGUAUUCGGUCGUCCGAUCAUGCGGCCACUCCCUCUCGUAUGCUUCUAAAAAGAUUUAAAAUAGAUAUUAGCAUAUAUAUGCAUAAAAAACCAUAAACUAAUAUUAAAAUCACUUACUUUGGAUUUGAAAUCUAGAUCGAAGGAUCUUUGCGCUUCCUCUAAUCUCCCCAUAAGCUUUACCUACAAACUAAAAACACUAAAAAAGUAAGUUAGUAUAAAAUAUAGAAACAAAAUUAAUGCAUGCAUAUCCCGGGACUUAAAAAUAAAUCUAUUUCUAUAUGCAUGAUGCUAAAAUAAAUUAAAUGCAUAAAUGUAAAAAGAAGGGGACGAAUUACUCCCUAUGAUGUAUUCGGUCGUCCGAUCAUCCGGCCACUCCCUCUCGUAUGCAUCUAAAAAGAUUUAAAAUAGAUAUUAGUAUAUAUAUGAAUAGGAAACCAUAAACUAAUAUUAAAAUCACUUACCUUGGAUUUGAAAUCUAGAUCGAAUGAUCUUUGCGCUUCCUCUAAUCUCCCCGUAAGCUUUACCUACAAACUAAAAACACUAAAAAAGUAAGUUAGUAUAAAAUAUAGAAACAAAAUUAAUGCAUGCAUGUCCCGGGACUUAAAAGUAAAUCUAUUUCUAUAUGCAUGAUGCUAAAAUAAAUUAAAUGCAUAAAUGUAAAAAGAAGGGGGCGAAUUACUCCCUAUGAUGUAUUCGGUCGUCCGGCCACUCCCUCUCGUAUGCAUCUAAAAAGAUUUAAAAUAGAUAUUAGUAUAUAUAUGCAUAGGAAACCAUAAACUAAUAUUAAAAUCACUUACCUUGGAUUUGAAAUCGAGAUCGAAGGAUCUUUGCGGAUCCUCUCGUCUCCACAUACGCUUUACCUACAAACUAAAAACACUAAAAAAGUAAGUUAGUACAAAAUAUAGAAACAAAAUUAAUGCAUGCAUGUCCCGGGACUUAAAAAUAAAUCUAUUUCUAUAUGCAUAAUGCUAAAAUAAAUUAAAUGCAUAAAUGUAAAAAGAAGGGGACGAAUUACUCCCUAUCAUGUAUUCGGUCGUCCGAUCAUCCGGCCACUCCCUCUCGUAUGCAUCUAAAAAGAUUUAAAAUAGAUAUUAGUACAUAUAUGCAUAGGAAACAACAAAGUAAUAUUAAAAUCACUUACCUUGGAUUUGAAAUCUAGAUCGAAAGAUCUUUGCGCUUCCUGUAAUCUCCCCAUAAGCUUUACCUACAAACUAAAAACACUAAAAAAGUAAGUUAGUAUAAAAUAUAGAAACAAAAUUAAUGCAUGCAUGUCCCGGGACUUAAAAAUAAAUCUAUUUCUAUAUGCAUAAUGCUAAAAUAAAUUUAAUGCAUAAAUGUAAAAAGAAGGGGUCGAAUUAUUCCCUAUAAUGUAUUCGGUCGUCCGAUUAUCCGGCCGCUCCCUCUCGAAUGCAUCUAAAAAGAUUUAAAAUAGAUAUUAGUAUAUAUAUAUAGGAAACAACAAAAUAAUAUUAAAAUCACUUACCUAUGAUUUGAAAUCGAGAUCGAAGAAUCUUUUCGGAUCCCCUCGUCUCCACAUAAGCUUUACCUACAAAUUAAAAACACUUAAAAAUAAGUUAGUAUAAAAUAUAGAAACAAAACUAAUGCAUGCAUGUCCCGGGACGGACGUAAAAAUAAAUCUAUUUCUAUAUGCAUAAUGCUAAAUUAAAUUAAAUGCAUAAAUGUAAAAGAAAAGGGACGAAUUACUCCCUACGGUUGUCCGAUCAUCCGGCCGCUCCCUCUCUCGUAUGCAUCUAAAAAUAUUUAAAAUAGAUAUUAGCAUAUAUGUAUAGGAAACAACAAAAUAAUAUUAAAAUCACUUACCUUGGAUUUGAAAUCGAGAUCGAAGGAUCUUUGCGGAUCCACUCGUCUCCACAUAAGCUUUACCUACAAAUUAAAAACACUUAAAAAUAAGUUAGUAUAUAAUAUAGAAACAAAAUUAAUGCAUGCAUGUCCCGGGACGGACGUAAAAAUAAAUCUAUUUCUAUAUGCAUAAUGCUAAAUUAAAUUAAAUGCAUAAAUGUAAAAGGAAAGGGACGAAUUACUCCCUACGGUCAUCCGAUCAUCCGGCCACUCCCUCGUCUCCACAUAAGCUUUACCUACAAAUAAAAAACACUUAAAAAUAAGUUAGUAUAAAAUAUAGAAACAAAAUCAAUGCAUGCAUGUCCCGGGACGGACGUAAAAAUAAAUCUAUUUCUAUAUGCAUAAUGCUAAAUUAAAUUAAAUGCAUAAAUGUAAAAGGAAAGGGACGAAUUACUCCCUACGGUUGUCCGAUCAUCCGGCCGCUCCCUCUCUCGUAUGCAUCUAAAAAUAUUUAAAAUAGAUAUUAGCAUAUAUGUAUAGGAAACAACAAAAUAAUAUUAAAAUCACUUACCUUGGAUUUGAAAUCGAGAUCGAAGGAUCUUUGCGGAUCCACUCGUCUCCACAUAAGCUUUACCUACAAAUUAAAAACACUUAAAAAUAAGUUAGUAUAUAAUAUAGAAACAAAAUUAAUGCAUGCAUGUCCCGGGACGGACGUAAAAAUAAAUCUAUUUCUAUAUGCAUAAUGCUAAAUUAAAUUAAAUGCAUAAAUGUAAAAGGAAAGGGACGAAUUACUCCCUACGGUCGUCCGAUCAUCCGGCCACUCCCUCGUCUCCACAUAAGCUUUACCUACAAAUAAAAAACACUUAAAAAUAAGUUAGUAUAAAAUAUAGAAACAAAAUCAAUGCAUGCAUGUCCCGGGACGGACGUAAAAAUAAAUCUAUUUCUAUAUGCAUAAUGUUAAAUUAAAUUAAAUGCAUAAAUGUAAAAGGAAAGGGACGAAUUACUCCCUACGGUCGUCCGAUCAUCCGUCCACUCCCUCGUCUCCACAUAAGCUUUACCUACAAAUUAAAAACACUUAAAAAUAAGUUAGUAUAAAAUAUAGAAACAAAAUUAAUGCAUGCAUGUCCCGGGACGGACGUAAAAAUAAAUCUAUUUCUAUAUGCAUAAUGCUAAAUUAAAUUAAAUGCAUAAAUGUAAAAGGAAAGGGACGAAUUACUCCCUACGGUCGUCCGAUCAUCCGGCCACUCCCUCGUCUCCACAUAAGCUUUACCUACAAAUAAAAAACACUUAAAAAUAAGUUAGUAUAAAAUAUAGAAACAAAAUCAAUGCAUGCAUGUCCCGGGACGGACGUAAAAAUAAAUCUAUUUCUAUAUGCAUAAUGCUAAAUUAAAUUAAAUGCAUAAAUGUAAAUGGAAAGGGACGAAUUACUCCCUACGGUCGUCCGAUCAUCCGGCCACUCCCUCGUCUCCACAUAAGCUUUACCUACAAAUUAAAAACACUUAAAAAUAAGUUAGUAUAAAAUAUAGAAACAAAAUUAAUGCAUGCAUGUCCCGGGACGGACGUAAAAAUAAAUCUAUUGCUAUAUGCAUAAUGCUAAAUUAAAUUAAAUGCAUAAAUGUAAAAGGAAAGGGACGAAUUACUCCCUACGGUCGUCCGAUCAUCCGGCCACUCCCUCGUCUCCACAUAAGCUUUACCUACAAAUAAAAAACACUUAAAAAUAAGUUAGUAUAAAAUAUAGAAACAAAAUCAAUGCAUGCAUGUCCCGGGACGGACGUAAAAAUAAAUCUAUUUCUAUAUGCAUAAUGCUAAAUUAAAUUAAAUGCAUAAAUGUAAAAGGAAGGGACGAAUUACUCCCUACGGUCGUCCGAUCAUCCGGCCACUCCCUCGUCUCCACAUAAGCUUACCUACAAAUUAAAAACACUUAAAAAUAAGUUAGUAUAAAAUAUAGAAACAAAAUUAAUGCAUGCAUGUCCCGGGACGGACGUAAAAAUAAAUCUAUUUCUAUAUGCAUAAUGCUAAAUUAAAUUAAAUGCAUAAAUGUAAAAGGAAAGGGACGAAUUACUCCCUACGGUCGUCCGAUCAUCCGGCCACUCCCUCGUCUCCACAUAAGCUUUACCUACAAAUUAAAAACACUUAAAGAUAAGUUAGUAUAAAAUAUAGAAACAAAAUUAAUGCAUGCAUGUCCCGGGACGGACGUAAAAAUAAAUCUAUUUCUAUAUGCAUAAUACUAAAUUAAAUUAAAUGCAUAAUUGUAAAAGGAAAGGGACGAGUUACUCCCUACGGCUGUCCGAUCAUCCGGCCACUCCCUCUCGUAUGCAUCUAAAAAGAUUUAAAAUAGAUAUUAGUAUAUAUGUAUAGUAAACAACAAAAUAAUAUUAAAAUCACUUACCUUGGAUUUGAAAUCGAGAUCGAAGGAUCUUUUCGCUAUCGCCAUCGCCUUGGGUGCUGCUGUCCGUUAGGAUCAUCCCACCAUUUUUAUUGACGUGUUUCAGCAGCUUCUUGGACAGUCUCUUCUUUGGGAAGACAUGUACAUAUGGGGGUAGAAGGGUCUCUUGUGUCUCCUACAAAAUAAGCACACAACAUCAUACAUCAUAACCAAGAAAGUUCCAAGAUUGGAUUCUAAAAUUUUCCAAGAAAAGUGCCAAAGUUCCAAGAUUGGAUUCCAAAAUUUUCCAAGAAAAGUUCCAAGAUUGGAUUCUAAAAUUUU